UACGUAGGGUGCAGGCGUUAUUCGGAUUUACUGGGCUUAAAGCGUGCGCAGGCGGCUAUGCAAGUCAGAUGUGAAGUCCCCGGGCUCAACCUGGGAACUGCAUUUGUGACUGCAUGGCUAGAGUACGGUAGAGGGGGAUGGAAUUCCGCGUGUAGCAGUGAAAUGCGUAGAUAUGCGGAGGAACACCGAUGGCGAAGGCAAUCCACUGGGCCUGCACUGACGCUCAUGCACGAAAGCGUGGGGAGCAAACAGG
rnacentral:rRNA from 1 species